UAAGGAAGGUGACACAAUCAUACUGAGUGAGAUACAGCAGCAAAGUACGGAGUAUCUUCAAAUCCUGGACCAAAGAUUUUGUCUUAGCUCCAAGCUGAUGCCAGAGAGGAUCUAAAUAGGGAUGCCAUUAGUUUCCUGAAGUUAUUAAAUUAAAGACCUGAUGAGAACAUGUAAUUUUAAUACUGCCUUAAGAACAGCGAAUUGGGAAGAGUUCAUCUUCUGGUGCCCUCACCUGCUAUCAGACAACUACAGCAGCCCAAACCGAGCGAGCUGCGCAGAUUUGUUGUGAGAGGAAGUGUCUGACUCUAGAGCUGCACAGAUGGAACGGUGCUGCUUUCACAGGGGAUGUGCUACUCAGAUUUCAAAGGAACAGCAUGGAAAACAUCUUAUCUUGCUGGAGUCCUGCUGCCAGCUGAGGGGUGUGACUGGAGCUCCGAAAACUUCUGCAGUGGCCCUGGGGGUGUGCAGGGCACCAGCAGGGCAUUCCACAUAACCUG